GUUCAUUUCAGCAGCACAUCUACUGAAAUUGGAACGAAACAGAGGAGAUUAGCAUGGACCCUGCACAAGGAUGACACACAAAUUCAUGAAGCCUUGUGGCUCUUA